rnacentral:sRNA from 1 species
CUCUGCAGCAGGUUCGGGUCGAACGUAGUGAGACAACGGAGCCGCUUGCGGCGACGGCCCGAAGGGCGAGGCGAAGCCGAGUCAUCCUGCACGACCCACCA